rnacentral:rRNA from 2 species
CUGAACCAGCCAAGUAGCGUGAAGGAUGACUGCCCUAUGGGUUGUAAACUUCUUUUAUACGGGAAUAAAGUGAGGCACGCGUGCCUUUUUGUAUGUACCGUAUGAAUAAGGAUCGGCUAACUCCGUGCCAGCAGCCGCGGUAAUACGGAGGAUCCGAGCGUUAUCCGGAUUUAUUGGGUUUAAAGGGAGCGUAGGCGGACGCUUAAGUCAGUUGUGAAAGUUUGCGG